rnacentral:rRNA from 1 species
UACGUAGGGGGCGAGCGUUGUCCGGAUUUAUUGGGCGUAAAGAGCUCGUAGGCGGUUCGAUAAGUCGGACGUGAAAUCUCCACGCUCAACGUGGAGGGGCCGUUCGAUACUGUCGUGACUCAAGUCCGGUAGGGGAGUGUGGAAUUCCCGGUGUAGCGGUGAAAUGCGCAGAGAUCGGGAGGAACACCCGUAGCGAAGGCGGCACUCUGGGCCGGUACUGACGCUGAGGAGCGAAAGCGUGGGGAGCAAACAGG